UACAGAGGGUGCGAGCGUUAAUCGGAAUUACUGGGCGUAAAGGGUGCGUAGGUGGUUUGGUAAGUUAGGUGUGAAAGUCCUGGGCUCAACCUGGGGAUUGCGCCUAAUACUGCUGAGCUAGAGUACUGUAGAGGGAAGUGGAAUUUCCGGUGUAGCGGUGAAAUGCGUAGAUAUCGGGAGGAACACCAGUGGCGAAGGCGACUACCUGGCCUGUUCUUGACGCUGAGGCGCGAAAGCUAGGGGAGCAAACGGG
rnacentral:rRNA from 1 species